rnacentral:rRNA from 1 species
GACGAACUUUGGCGGCGUGCUUAACACAUGCAAGUCGAACGGAAAGGCCCUGCUUUUGUGGGGUGCUCGAGUGGCGAACGGGUGAGUAACACGUGAGUAACCUGCCCUUGACUUUGGGAUAACUUCAGGAAACUGGGGCUAAUACCGGAUAGGAGCUCCUGCUGCAUGGUGGGGGUUGGAAAGUUUCGGCGGUUGGGGAUGGACUCGCGGCUUAUCAGCUUGUUGGUGGGGUAGUGGCUUACCAAGGCUUUGACGGGUAGCCGGCCUGAGAGGGUGACCGGCCACAUUGGGACUGAGAUACGGCCCAGACUCCUACGGGAGGCAGCAGUGGGGAAUAUUGCACAAUGGGCGGAAGCCUGAUGCAGCAACGCCGCGUGCGGGAUGACGGCCUUCGGGUUGUAAACCGCUUUCGCCUGUGACGAAGCGUGAGUGACGGUAAUGGGUAAAGAAGCACCGGCUAACUACGUGCCAGCAGCCGCGGUGAUACGUAGGGUGCGAGCGUUGUCCGGAUUUAUUGGGCGUAAAGGGCUCGUAGGUGGUUGAUCGCGUCGGAAGUGUAAUCUUGGGGCUUAACCCUGAGCGUGCUUUCGAUACGGGUUGACUUGAGGAAGGUAGGGGAGAAUGGAAUUCCGGGUGGAGCGGUGGAAUGCGCAGAUAUCAGGAGGAACACCAGUGGCGAAGGCGGUUCUCUGGGCCUUUCCUGACGCUGAGGAGCGAAAGCGUGGGGAGCGAACAGGCUUAGAUACCCUGGUAGUCCACGCUGUAAGCGGUGGGUACUAGGUGUGGGGUCCAUUCCACGGGUUCCGUGCCGUAGCUAACGCUUUAAGUACCCCGCCUGGGGAGUACGGCCGCAAGGCUAAAACUCAAAGGAAUUGACGGGGCCCCGCACAAGCGGCGGAGCAUGCGGAUUAAUUCGAUGCAACGCGUAGAACCUUACCUGGGUUUGACAUGGAUCGGGAGUGCUCAGAGAUGGGUGUGCCUCUUUUGGGGUCGGUUCACAGGUGGUGCAUGCCUGUCGUCAGCUCGUGUCGUGAGAUGUUGGGUUAAGUCCCGCAACGAGCGCAACCCUUGUUCACUGUUGCCAGCACGUUAUGGUGGGGACUCAGUGGAGACCGCCGGGGUCAACUCGGAGGAAGGUGGGGAUGACGUCAAGUCCUCAUGCCCCUUAUGUCCAGGGCUUCACGCAUGCUACAAUGGCUGGUACAGAGAGUGGCGAGCCUGUGAGGGUGAGCGAAUCUCGGAAAGCCGGUCUCAGUUCGGAUUGGGGUCUGCAACUCGACCUCAUGAAGUCGGAGUCGCUAGUAAUCGCAGAUCAGCAACGCUGCGGUGAAUACGUUCCCGGGGGCU